GAGAGGAUUCAGUGCGGCGCCGCGGACGCCUCGCGGGAAGACCGAGCAGGGCUUCCCGUGACAGGGGCCGUUCCGCGGGGCGCUUCUGCGGCGUCGUACGCAUUUGACUCUCGUCCGAAGGACGCUGCAGCCGGUUCGGCAGUGCAAACGUGACGGCCUGAAGGUCGGGAGCCGGCAGGUGGCCGGUGGUUCGCCUCGUGCGCGCCGCCGGUUGUUAGCCUUCCCGUCGGUGGCUCGUCGCCGGACCGUGGUGUCGCGAGUCCCCUCGCGGGACUCCUCGUCUCCACCCCUCGGUAGCGGGACAGACCGCGGCAAGCUUCUGCCGUCGACCCUUCGCACCCGCUCGGGUGGUCGGGCAGGCGUCGGAGGCCGAUCGCCGCGGCGGGCCCGUUGGGGACCGGAGGCUGGCAGCGAGUAGGUCGGUCACCCACCCGGCCCGUCUUGAAACACGGACCAAGGAGUCUAACAUGUGCGCGAGUCAGUGGGUCUUGAACAGGCCCACGGGCGCAAUGAAAGCGAGGGUCGUCCGAGCGGCGACCGAGUCUGGAUCCGUCCUCCCUCGAGGGGGCGGCGCACAGACGACCCGUCCUAUCCGGCUCGCCGGUUGGGCGGAGUUUGAGCGUACACGUUGGGACCCGAAAGAUGGUGAACUAUGCCCGGGCAGGACGAGGCCAGAGGAAACUCUGGUGGAGGUCCGCAGCGGUUCUG
rnacentral:rRNA from 1 species